rnacentral:rRNA from 2 species
GGUGCUAACGUCCGUCGUGAAGAGGGAAACAACCCAGACCGCCAGCUAAGGUCCCAAAGUCAUGGUUAAGUGGGAAACGAUGUGGGAAGGCCCAGACAGCCAGGAUGUUGGCUUAGAAGCAGCCAUCAUUUAAAGAAAGCGUAAUAGCUCACUGGUCGAGUCGGCCUGCGCGGAAGAUGUAACGGGGCUAAACCAUGCACCGAAGCUGCGGCAGCGACACUGUGUGUUGUUGGGUAGGGGAGCGUUCUGUAAGCCUGUGAAGGUGUGUCGUGAGGCAUGCUGGAGGUAUCAGAAGUGCGAAUGCUGACAUAAGUAACGAUAAAGCGGGUGAAAAGCCCGCUCGCCGGAAGACCAAGGGUUCCUGUCCAACGUUAAUCGGGGCAGGGUGAGUCGACCCCUAAGGCGAGGCCGAAAGGCGUAGUCGAUGGGAAACGGGUUAAUAUUCCCGUACUUGGUGUUACUGCGAAGGGGGGACGGAGAAGGCUAUGUUGGCCGGGCGACGGUUGUCCCGGUUUAAGCGUGUAGGUGUGUGUUCCAGGUAAAUCCGGUUCACUUUAACACUGAGGCGUGACGACGAGGCACUACGGUGCUGAAGCAACAAAUGCCCUGCUUCCAGGAAAAGCCUCUAAGCAUCAGGUAACAUCAAAUCGUACCCCAAACCGACACAGGUGGUCAGGUAGAGAAUACCAAGGCGCUUGAGAGAACUCGGGUGAAGGAACUAGGCAAAAUGGUGCCGUAACUUCGGGAGAAGGCACGCUGACACGUAGGUGAAGUGAUUUACUCAUGGAGCUGAAGUCAGUCGAAGAUACCAGCUGGCUGCAACUGUUUAUUAAAAACACAGCACUGUGCAAACACGAAAGUGGACGUAUACGGUGUGACGCCUGCCCGGUGCCGGAAGGUUAAUUGAUGGGGUCAGCGCAAGCGAAGCUCCUGAUCGAAGCCCCGGUAAACGGCGGCCGUAACUAUAACGGUCCUAAGGUAGCGAAAUUCCUUGUCGGGUAAGUUCCGACCUGCACGAAUGGCGUAAUGAUGGCCAGGCUGUCUCCACCCGAGACUCAGUGAAAUUGAACUCGCUGUGAAGAUGCAGUGUACCCGCGGCAAGACGGAAAGACCCCGUGAACCUUUACUAUAGCUUGACACUGAACAUUGAGCCUUGAUGUGUAGGAUAGGUGGGAGGCUUUGAAGCGUGGACGCCAGUCUGCGUGGAGCCGACCUUGAAAUACCACCCUUUAAUGUUUGAUGUUCUAACGUGGACCCGUAAUCCGGGUUGCGGACAGUGUCUGGUGGGUAGUUUGACUGGGGCGGUCUCCUCCUAAAGAGUAACGGAGGAGCACGAAGGUUGGCUAAUCCUGGUCGGACAUCAGGAGGUUAGUGCAAUGGCAUAAGCCAGCUUGACUGCGAGCGUGACGGCGCGAGCAGGUGCGAAAGCAGGUCAUAGUGAUCCGGUGGUUCUGAAUGGAAGGGCCAUCGCUCAACGGAUAAAAGGUACUCCGGGGAUAACAGGCUGAUACCGCCCAAGAGUUCAUAUCGACGGCGGUGUUUGGCACCUCGAUGUCGGCUCAUCACAUCCUGGGGCUGAAGUAGGUCCCAAGGGUAUGGCUGUUCGCCAUUUAAAGUGGUACGCGAGCUGGGUUUAGAACGUCGUGAGACAGUUCGGUCCCUAUCUGCCGUGGGCGCUGGAGAACUGAGGGGGGCUGCUCCUAGUACGAGAGGACCGGAGUGGACGCAUCACUGGUGUUCGGGUUGUCAUGCC